UUGCGGUGAAGAAUUUAGCGUUGCCUGUGAUCAGGGUCGAUCACUAUCGUCCGAUCUUCUGGCGAAACUAUCAGCGCAUCCGAGCUU